rnacentral:rRNA from 1 species
UUCCUACGGGGGGCAGCAGUGAGGAAUAUUGGUCAAUGGGCUUACGCCUGAACCAGCCAAGUCGCGUGAGGGAAGACUGCCCUAUGGGUUGUAAACCUCUUUUGUCAGGGAGCAAAGAGGCCACGUGUGGUCAAAAGCGAGAGUACCCGAAGAAAAAGCAUCGGCUAACUCCGUGCCAGCAGCCGCGGUAAUACGGAGGAUGCGAGCGUUAUCCGGAUUUAUUGGGUUUA